AUGCCAACAUUGGAGGACAAGCCCCUGGACUCCCAAGCUUCAAGAGCUAUCCUAAGAGCCAGAAGGCUUCCAUGGAAAGCUUAUUGAAGAUCUUAAGAUCCAGGUAGAAAUUACAAGUCAAUGAGAGAGUGUUCCACCAAUAGUUUUUCUUCUUCCUCCUGUCUUGUAUCCUUGUGUAUACUCUUCUCUUGAGUCCUGUAUAGCCUUCUACUUCCUUCUUGUUUUAAGUGUGAAGAGUCCUGUAGUCGGAGAAACAAGCUCCUGCAAGCUAUCUCCAUUUUGUAUUGUUCGUCCUUUUAGGGAUUCCAGUGGGGGCUCCAGCUUUCUUUGGCAUGGUUUUGGGGCCAAAUUAUACUUGGUACUGAGAAUAGAAUGCUGCAAUGGAACGAGGUCCUGUCCAUGGCAUCCAAGAGGCUUGAUUAGGCGCUGUCGGCCGUGCGAGCGUAUUGUCACCCUCGUGAUAGUCCUGCAGCAGCAGCAGCAGGGGCGAGCACUUAAAAUGAUUCGCGGGUGAGAAUAAAGGAUGGGACGAAAAAGUUUGUGGCGUCCAUGUGGACUAGGUGGUCAUGAUUGGUGAAUGGGCACCAGCUUUGGAACACAUAGCUGGGCCUGGGCAUUGUUUGCCGGCCUUAUUUCAACAGUGCCGUUCUACGGCCAGAUGUGUGGCUUAAUGGGCCUUUGUCUGGGCUGGUUCGCUUUUCUGCUCCAGUUUGUUACUUCCUUGCUAGGCCGAUGCACUCUUCCACUUCGAUCAAGUUUCACGUCCUAAUUUGCUUUGAGUGUUUUGUAGCCAAAAUCUAAUGUAAAUAUGAGUUAUUCUGCGUUUGUUGUCCCCCAUCACAGUCAUGUUAAUGAGAGGAAAUGCUGAUUGGAGGUG